UCAGGAUGAACGCUAGCUACAGGCUUAACACAUGCAAGUCGAGGGGCAGCAUUGGAGUAGCAAUACUCAGAUGGCGACCGGCGCACGGGUGAGUAACACGUAUCCAACCUGCCGCUUACUCGGGAUAGCCUUUCGAAAGAAAGAUUAAUACCCGAUGGUAUAAAGAGUUCGCAUGUUCUCUUUAUUAAAGAAUUUCGGUAAGCGAUGGGAUGCGUUCCAUUAGAUAGUUGGCGGGGUAACGGCCCACCAAGUCUACGAUGGAUAGGGGUUCUGAGAGGAAGGUCCCCCACAUUGGAACUGAGACACGGUCCAAACUCCUACGGGAGGCAGCAGUGAGGAAUAUUGGUCAAUGGACGAGAGUCUGAACCAGCCAAAAGUAGCGUGAAGGAUGACUGCCCUAUGGGUUGUAAACUUCUUUUAUAAGGGAAUAAAGUGAGGGACGUGUCCCUUUUUGUAUGUACCUUAUGAAUAAGGAUCGGCUAACUCCGUGCCAGCCGCGGC
rnacentral:rRNA from 1 species